rnacentral:lncRNA from 1 species
GUGACAUGCAGUCCCAAGCCAGGCUGCAGCCAGUUGGCACAGGGCAGGGCGGCACCACUGGCGAUGCUAUUUACAGUGAAUGGGAGAGAACCUCACUCCACACCCAGCUGCAGCCACAGUCCUGGGAUGAAGCAGCAGAAACAUCAAAAAAGGGAAAAGGCCUUCUCUUGGGAAAGGUGCAGCCACCGAGGGACCCUCACUGGGAUGAACCCCACAACCUGACCUGAGCUUCAGCAUUAACCCGGGACCAUCACAAAACCCACGGCAGAGACGCUGGUCAUGAGGAUGAUGGGGACAGUGGCAAGGGCCGGGAUGUUCUCAGAGAUGCCUCUCUCCUCCCCAGCAACAAGGGAAGCCUGCAGGAUGUCACUGGAGCAGAAGGUUGGGCAUGAAUCACGGAUCUGUGCUCUGGAAGGGUUCUGGUGUCUGCUGGGGCCGAGUGGGGCAAUUUUCCCAGCAACAGAAGACUGAGGGUGGGGGUGGAGACAGCCCUGCACGGCCCCGUGUCCCCCGUCCCUCCUGCCACCAGCACAUCGCAGUACCCACCCACCUUCACCCCAAGUCCCUUUGGGGUUCAGCAAACAGGAAACCACCCUGAAACUCAAUCACACCCCGCAGGCACCCCAUCACAACCGUGUUGCCAGGCAUGUCCAAAACCAACAGGCUGGGCAAGGGGGGAGAGUGCUGAGAGCCUGGAAGAACAACGUGGCUUUCCAUCACUGAUUCUACUGGCCUGUGAAUGAGAAGCCAUGAUGGAAAGGAAGAGCCCACCCAGCCUUGGGACUGAGGGCCUACGCGGGUUUGGAUUUUGGGGUGCAGGAGGUCGGUGUCUGACUGCCACUAUGCACAGAGGCUCAGCAAGAACCAGACCCUGCAAUGCAAAUGGCAACACAAACACUUCACGUCACGUCCGCAUCUUCCAAGCUCCACAUAUUACAGUCUCACCAAAAUAAGAACAUUUACCCCUAAGACUUCUGAAAAUAAGCUGAUGGGAAGUGUGUAUCUCUAUUUAUAUAAAGUGCAAUCCACAGCUGCCCCCACCCUGGCUGCCACCCGUGCUCCAGUCCUCUAUUUAAAGAGACUGAACCUUCACACGCUCUGUUUCCAGCGCCUGAUGUUAAAACAAAAAGGAGAAACAAUACACAAAGAGACAACCAGACGCCUCUCUCCUCAUUUCCCUGCGCUCUGUGGUGCUGCUGAAGAGCAGCCGUGUCCUUCCUCCUCCCACGGGACCACAGCCAAGCAGAGCAGUGCGUCGAGCUGACGGCAUCUGCUGGGUAGGGAAGGAACCAGCUCCAAAUCCGGCUCCAUGACCACGAUCC